rnacentral:rRNA from 1 species
UACGGGGGGGGCAAGCGUUGUUCGGAAUCAUUGGGCGUAAAGCGCGCGUAGGCGGCCCUGUAAGUCCGUUGUGAAAGUCAAAGGCUCAACCUUUGAAAGCCGAUGGAUACUGCAGGGCUAGAGUCCGGAAGAGGCGAGUGGAAUUCCUGGUGUAGCGGUGGAAUGCGCAGAUAUCAGGAGGAACACCGAUGGCGAAGGCAGAUCUCUGGGCCGUAACUGACGCUGAGGAGCGAAAGCAUGGGGAGCGAACAGG